AGGCCUCGAGCGUUAGGCGGAAUCACUGGGCUUAAAGCGUGUGUAGGCGGAUGUCUAAGUACCUUGUGAAAUCCCAUGGCUUAACCAUGGAAUUGCUUGGUAUACUGGAUGUCUUGAGCCAGCUAGGGGCAACCGGAACAAAUGGUGGAGCGGUGAAAUGCGUAGAUAUCAUUUGGAACGCCAAUGGUGAAAACAGGUUGCUGGGGCUGUGCUGACGCUGAGACACGAAAGCCAGGGGAGCGAACGGG
rnacentral:rRNA from 1 species